ACGCAAAAGAUAGGUGGAUGUGAUGUUCUAUGCCUAAAGAAUAUGGGCCUAUUUUCACUAUGCGGUGGGCCGAACCCCCAUAUAUGUAAUUGCUACUUUACAAACGGCACGGCUCUCGAAAACCUUCUGAAACCCAAGCCACCUGGUUCUUCAAAUACAACUAUCCCAAGUAUUUCGGCAGACCUUCUUCAUUCGAGAUGUCCAAUAACGAGGAGUCCGUGUGAUUUCUACUGCUUAGUUCUGGGUAGCCCUUUUGGUUACUGCCUACUUGGUCGCCAAAAGUGCCACUGUGUGAGACAUAAAAUCGGAGUGUGCUUUGAAACCCUCAUUUAUGUCACAGCGCAACAAUAGCCUUUUCUAAUACUAUGACGUCCAGCCGUGUUCUCUAGUUCAACGAAUUCUGAAAAAUAAGUGGUACAACCAGUGAAAUGGAACGUGGCAGCCAUCAUAUGCCAUCGUGCUUUCUAACACGGCGAGUGGUUGGAAGAAGAGGACAGGGAAAUACGUCGGUUCUGCUGCCUUAAAAGGAAGCAAGUCUCUGAAUCUGCAGGGUAAUUGGGAGACAAACUUAAAGAUUGAAGAAGGAAAAAAGGCUGGUGUCCGUAGCUGAGGGCGCGCGAGUGCAUUCUACAGACAGUUGCCCAACGUCCCGAAGGAAUUGAAGAAUUGCCUGAAGGCUCGUCAUGGAAGUUGGAAGGAAACAAGAAGUUCCUUUGUGUAGCCACAGGAACGUGAAGAACGAAUGCGAAAC